CCCUUAGAUGUUCGGGGCCGCACGCGCGCUACACUGAAGGACUCAGCGUGUCUCUCCCCCUAUCCCGAAAGGGAUGGGCAACCCGUUGAACCUCCUUCGUGCUAGGGAUUGGGGUUUGCAAUUAUCCCCCAUGAACGAGGAAUUCCCAGUAAGCGCGAGUCAUCAGCUCGCGUUGAUUACGUCCCUGCCCUUUGUACACACCGCCCGUCGCUACUACCGAUUGGAUGGUUUAGUGAGACCCUCGGAUCGGUCCCGACUCGGGGUGGGCUUCUGCCCCGGUCGUGGUUUCGCCGAGAAGACGGUCAAACUUGACUAUCUAGAGGAAGUAAAAGCCGUAACA
rnacentral:rRNA from 1 species